rnacentral:rRNA from 1 species
UACGUAGGGUGCAAGCGUUGUCCGGAAUUAUUGGGCGUAAAGAGCGUGUAGGCGGCCCGAUCAGUCCGCUGUGAAAGUCCAGGGCUCAACCCUGGGAUGCCGGUGGAUACUGUCGGGCUAGAGUCCGGAAGGGGCGAGUGGAAUUCCUGGUGUAGCGGUGAAAUGCGUAGAUAUCUGGAGGAACACCCGUGGCGAAAGCGGCGCGCUGGACCACUACUGACGCUGAGGAACGAAAGCUAGGGGAGCAAACAGG